CCGCAUUUGCUGCGGUUGUGACGUCAGCGCGGCAGGUGCAAAGAGCCCAUUGCUGAAUCUUGUUUCUCUCUCCAGGACAGUUUUUGGAGGAACCUGCAGAGAAAAGGAUUGCAGUCAGCACCCAGCCCAACAGCGCUAACAACAGCAGCAACGCUAACGUCCAUCUCACCUACACUUGUUCUGGUUCUGAUCCAAACAGCUCCCUCAUGCUGCCUGAGGCUUUGCUGUUAAACUGCUGACAGAUACGACUGCAGUGGAGUAAAAUGUUGCAGUUACGUUUUAUUUAACGUCCAGUCCAGCCAAAAUAAAGCUGUUCUAAGAAGCCGUGCUUAUCGCAGCCCCUCAGGGCGCCUGUGUUAAUCCCCGGGAAAAGAUGACAUCAAAUGGAAGCAGAGCAAAGGAUUAUGGGGGAUGUUGAGGUGCUUGAUCAGCUGCUGCUGAGAACUGGAUGGAGGGGAAGGAAUCUUCUCCAGGUACGAACAAACAAACCUGAAAAUAGUAGGAAAAGGGAGAAAAACAGAGUCUGGUUCAGAAGAAGGAAGAUGCUUCGCCUCCAAAUCGCCACUUUAACUUUAGUCAGAACAGGUUAAAGUUUCCUACCAAACGACACCAGUUUUCCUUUACUUACUUAAAUAAUGGAUACUUUAUUUAUCCCCAAAAGAAAUGAAAUGUAGGAAUAUCUUCAAAGAAUCACUUUGCAUGGUGAUGGAAGGGAGCAGAUUGUGUUGCAGCUCAUUUGAAGAGGCUUCUGACUGAAGACAGUUGCUGUGUGACAGUCUCAUGACUGUUGAUGCUCCACAGUAACAUCCACCACAGCUGGAAAGUUUCCCUCUUUUUCGUUCCAAUUUUAGAAAUGUGCCUUUAAACUUUACUGGAUUUUAGUUCUGGUUCUGACUGGGUCAGUCCAGAAGUCAACCUGUUGUUAUCUUGGUUUCAUGCUUCACAACAUCUUUGGGGAAGUGUUUU